AAGGGAAGUUCUCUUUCUGCAGUUCUCUUACUGCACAUAACUGUGGCAUUAUGGGACUAUGAGAACUAUUGCUUCUUUUCUCUUGCAUUCUGGGAAGUCUCGCUCAUAAUCUUUUCUCUGCUUCUGCACAAGAGUCUGAGAAUGUUCUGAACAGUUCCCAUUGAGUUCAUGAAACAGUGUAUCCUGACCUGUUCUUAAUGCAUUGCUGACCACAUCUACGGAACGUGAUUGUUGUAUUCUUUCAUGUUAUGUUCCUUCAAUAUCAAUCUUUAGUUAUAAUUUAAUUAGGAGGUUUCAUGCCUGUCUAGUUCCAGCUCCGUUUCUCAGCCUUUGAUCUAUCAGUGAUAAAUGCUCAUAUGUAAUUCCCGCCUUGUACCUAUGUUAACCAAUCAGCAACAAGAUGCUUUGUGUUUGUAUCAACCAAUCAGCCACAAGCACACCUGUGGCAAUGUUUGUAAUAUUCAAUAAAAGAGAGUUCCCGGGGCUUGCCCCGGCAGACGCCUCUCAUAUGACACCU
rnacentral:lncRNA from 1 species